AUGAGCUACAGGACAUCUCUGGUGAAUGGCUGCUCCAGUUGAAGAAAGCUAGAAUCCGGUCAGGAAACAAAUGCAAGAGUAUACACUUCAGAUACCCUGUGUAUUCUUAAGUCUUAUGGAAAAAGCCUCUUAAAGCAGAAUUGCAAGAAACUUUGUGUCAAAA